rnacentral:rRNA from 1 species
UACGUAGGGCGCAAGCGUUGUCCGGAAUUACUGGGCGUAAAGAGCUCGUAGGUGGUUUGUCGCGUUGUUCGUGAAAACUCACAGCUCAACUGUGGGCGUGCGGGCGAUACGGGCAGACUUGAGUACUGCAGGGGAGACUGGAAUUCCUGGUGUAGCGGUGGAAUGCGCAGAUAUCAGGAGGAACACCGGUGGCGAAGGCGGGUCUCUGGGCAGUAACUGACGCUGGAGGAGCGAAAGCGUGGGGAGCGAACAGG